CGCGUAGGCGGGUCUGUAAGUCAGAGGUGAAAUACUGCGGCUUAACCGUAGAACUGCCUUUGAUACUGCAGAUCUUGAGUUCGGAAGAGAGAGGCGGAAUUCCAGGUGUAGUGGUGAAAUACGUAGAUAUCUGGAAGAACACCAGAGGCGAAGGCGGUCUCUUGGUCCGUAACUGACGCUGAGGCACGAAAGCGUGGGGAGCGAACAGGAUUAGAUACCCUGGUAGUCC
rnacentral:rRNA from 1 species